ACCAUCUACCGGAAAAGUCUCCGAAUUGGAUCGAGGCUUUGGCUACCCCACCAUUGUCAGGCAUCCCGAGCGCGUUCCCGAAGUCGGAAUCGGCAAAGGUGAGCCGGGACAGCCUUCUUCCUCCGCCCAGCCGCCACAGUGAUUGUCGUCAAGUCUGCCACAGGAGGAUAUUUUGUUCUGGGUUAACCUGCUUUUCUACCUCGCAGGUUGUUUAUCAAUAUUUGUGUAAUUUUAAUUACUCCUAGAAUUUCCGCAUGUGUUAGCAGUAAUUAUUUGAAUUUGGUCUGUAAUAUUAUUAUCAUGUUGGACCUGUAAACUUAAUAUCCUAUGUCUGUUUUGAUGGAUUGGAUGAGGGAGCUGAGCUCCCAUUUAUUAUUAUGUUGAUGAGUAUGUGGAGGGUGAGCUGAGCUCCCCAAUUGACUAUAUAUUGUGUUUACAGGUCGGGUGAGUCGAAAACUCCCCGUUGGUAAGUCCAUUUUAUGGCCGGACUCUGUCCGUUUGUUUUCUUGAAAUUGGGCCCAAAUGGGCCUUAGAGUUGGGUUAAUGAAUAGUUAAGGCUUACUACGGGCCUCGGGUGCUUUAGGCUGGCCCAGGUCCUA